rnacentral:misc_RNA from 1 species
UACGAAGGGCCCGAGCGUUGCGCGGAAUUACUGGGCUUAAAGGGUGCGUAGGCGGAAAGGUAAGUGUCUUGUGAAAGCCCACGGCUCAACCGUGGAACUGCAGGGCAAACUAUCUUUCUUGAGGCUGGUAGGCGUCGCCGGAACUGUAGGUGUAGCGGUGAAAUGCGUAGAUAUCUACAGGAACGCCGAAGGUGAAGACGGGCGACUGGGCCAGUACUGACGCUGAUGCACGAAAGCGUGGGGAGCAAACAGG